rnacentral:rRNA from 1 species
UAUAAAACCCUUAAAUUAGUAUAACUUAUUCUAAACCCUCAAACAAUACUGAGCUGUUCUAUUAACUAUAGAAGCACUUAUGCUAGAACUAGUAAUGUGAAUACACCAUUCUCAUAAUAUGUAAGUGUAAAUCAGAUCGAAUAAAUCACUGAUAAUUAACGGCCUCUCUGAGAUCCCUGCAACAACAAAACAAGAAAACCAUGCACCUUUUACCGUUAAUCUAACACAAGAACAUUACAAGAAAGAUUAAAAGACGCAGAAGGAACUCGGCAAACUAUGAACCCCGCCUGUUUACCAAAAACAUCGCCUCUUGCUAAAAAACAUGUAUAAGAGGUCCAGCCUGCCCAGUGACUAUAAGUUCAACGGCCGCGGUAUUCUGACCGUGCAAAGGUAGCGUAAUCACUUGUCUUUUAAAUAAAGACUGGUAUGAAUGGCACCACGAAGGUUCAACUGUCUCCUGCAUCCAAUCCAUUAAACUGACCUCCCCGUGCAGAGGCGGGGAUACAACCAUAAGACGAGAAGACCCUAUGGAGCUUUAAACUAAAGGCAACUGCCAACUUCAACCUAAUCCGUAAGGAAAAACAAUAAAACAAGCAGAAAUUGACCUAAAGUUUUCGGUUGGGGCGACCACGGAGAAUAAAAAAUCCUCCUUGAAGAAUAGGGCCUACCACCCUUAACCAAGAAUCACUAUUCUAAGUAACAAAAUUUAUGACUACAAUUGAUCCAGUCUAACUGAUCAACGAACCAAGUUACCCUAGGGAUAACAGCGCAAUCCAUUUCAAAAGUUCCUAUCGACAAAUGGGUUUACGAC